GGGCGAUUAGCUCAACGGCAGAGCUACAGACUCUUAAUCUGUUGGUUCGGGGUUCAAAUCCCCGAUCGCUCA
rnacentral:tRNA from 1 species